GUGCUUGCUUCGGCUGCACAUAUAUUAAAAUGGGAAAAAUACAGAGAUUAGCAUGGCCCCUUCACAAGGAUGACAUGCAAAUUUGUGAAGUGUCCCAUAUUUUG